rnacentral:rRNA from 1 species
GACGAACGCUGGCGGCGUGCCUAAUACAUGCAAGUAGAACGCAGUUGCGAACGGGUGAGUACCGCGUAGGUAACCUGCCUUAUAGCGGGGGAUAACUAUUGGAACCGAUAGCUAAUACCGCAUACUGUAAGAUGGUUCUGCGUUGUCUUAGCUAGUUGGGUAGGUAAUGGCUCACCAAGGCGACGUUACAUAGCCGACCCGAGAGGAUGAUCGGCCACACUGGGACUGAGACACGGCCCAGACUCCUCCGGGAGGCAGCAGUAGGGAAUCGUCGGCAAUGGACGGAAGUCUGACCGAGCAACGCCGCGUGAGGGAAGAAGGUUUUCGGAUCGUAAAGCUCUGUUGUUAGAGAAGCGGUAACGAACCAGAAAGGGACGGCUAACUACGUGCCAGCAGCCGCGGUAAUG